UACAGAGGGGGCCAGCGUUAUUCGGAAUUAUUGGGCGUAAAGGGCGCGUAGGCGGCCAUGCGUGUCUUCCGUGAAAUCCCUCGGCUUAACUGAGGACGUGCGGAAGAAACUGCAAGGCUCGAGUCCGGGAGAGGGGGGUGGAAUUCCCAGUGUAGCGGUGAAAUGCGUAGAUAUUGGGAGGAACACCGGCGGCGAAGGCGGCCCCCUGGACCGGUAUUGACGCUGAGGCGCGAAAGCUAGGGGAGCAAACGGG
rnacentral:rRNA from 1 species